UGGGAACGUGCCUUCCGGUUCGGGAUAACCCAGGGAAACUUGGGCUAAUACCGGAUACGCCCUUCGGGGGAAAGAUUCAUUGCCGAAAGAUCGGCCCGCGUCGGAUUAGCUUGUUGGUGGGGUAAUGGCUACCAAGGCGACGAUCCGUAGCUGGUCUGAGAGGAUGACCAGCCACACUGGGACUGAGACACGGCCCAGACUCCUACGGGAGGCAG
rnacentral:rRNA from 1 species